rnacentral:rRNA from 1 species
AGAGUUUGAUCCUGGCUCAGGAUGAACGCUAGCUACAGGCUUAACACAUGCAAGUCGAGGGGAAACGACAUCGAAAGCUCGCUUUUGAUGGGUGUCGACCGGCGCACGGGUGAGUAACGCGUAUCCAACCUGCCGUCUACUCUUGGACAGCCUUCUGAAAGGAAGAUUAAUACAAGAUGGCAUCAUGAGUUCACAUGUUCACAUGAUUAAAGGUUUUCCGGUAGACGAUGGGGAUGCGUUCCAUUAGAUAGUAGGCGGGGUAACGGCCCACCUAGUCUUCGAUGGAUAGGGGUUCUGAGAGGAAGGUCCCCCACAUUGGAACUGAGACACGGUCCAAACUCCUACGGGAGGCAGCA